rnacentral:rRNA from 1 species
CCCUUAGAUGUUCUGGGCCGCACGCGCGCUACACUGACGGAGUCAACGAGUUGUCCUGCAUCGGAAGGUGUGGGUAAUCUUUUGAAACUUCGUCGUGCUGGGGAUAGAUCUUUGCAAUUUUCGAUCUUGAACGAGGAAUUCCUAGUAAGCGUGAUUCAUCAGAUCGCGUUGAUUACGUCCCUGCCCUUUGUACACACCGCCCGUCGCUACUACCGAUUGAAUGGUUUAGUGAGGCCUCGGGACUGGCGCGCUUGAGUAGCAAUACACCUGCGCGCCGGGAACUUGGUCAAACUUGAUCAUUUAGAGGAAGUAAAAGUCGUAACA